UACGAAGGGGGGCUAGCGUUGCUCGGAAUCACUGGGCGUAAAGGGUGCGUAGGCGGGUCUUUAAGUCAGGGGUGAAAUCCUGGAGCUCAACUCCAGAACUGCCUUUGAUACUGAGGAUCUUGAGUUCGGGAGAGGUGAGUGGAACUGCGAGUGUAGAGGUGAAAUUCGUAGAUAUUCGCAAGAACACCAGUGGCGAAGGCGGCUCACUGGCCCGAUACUGACACUGAGAAGCGAAAGCGUGGGGAGCGAACAGG
rnacentral:rRNA from 1 species